CACGUAGGGCGCAAGCGUUGUCCGGAAUUAUUGGGCGUAAAGAGCUCGUAGGCGGACUGUCACGUCUGCUGUGAAAAGCUGGGGCUUAACCCUGGCCUUGCAGUGGAUACGGGCAGACUAGAGGUAGGUAGGGGAGAAUGGAAUUCCCGGUGUAGCGGUGAAAUGCGCAGAUAUCGGGAGGAACACCGGUGGCGAAGACGGUUCUCUGGGCCUUACCUGACGCUGAGGAGCGAAAGCGUGGGGAGCGAACAGG
rnacentral:rRNA from 1 species